rnacentral:rRNA from 1 species
AAUCCAUAGGUUAAUGAGGCGAACCGGGGGAACUGAAACAUCUAAGUACCCCGAGGAAAAGAAAUCAACCGAGAUUCCCCCAGUAGCGGCGAGCGAACGGGGAGGAGCCCAGAGCCUGAAUCAGCAUGUGUGUUAGUGGAAGCGUCUGGAAAGGCGCGCGAUACAGGGUGACAGCCCCGUACACAAAAGCGCAUGUGCUGUGAGCUCGAUGAGUAGGGCGGGACACGUGGUAUCCUGUCUGAAUAUGGGGGGACCAUCCUCCAAGGCUAAAUACUCCUGACUGACCGAUAGUGAACCAGUACCGUGAGGGAAAGGCGAAAAGAACCCCGGCGAGGGGAGUGAAAAAGAACCUGAAACCGUGUACGUACAAGCAGUGGGAGCCCCACCACUAAGCCAGUGGUGAACUCCA